CUCAGUUCGGACUGGAGUCUGCAACCCGACUCCACGAAGCUGGAUUCGCUAGUAAUCGCGCAUCAGCCAUGGCGCGGUGAAUACGUUCCCGGGCCUUGUACACACCGCCCGUCAAGCCAUGGGAGCCGGGGGCGCCUGAAGUCCGGGACCGCGAGGACCGGCCUAGGGCGAAACUGGUAACUGGGGCUAAGUCGUAACAAGGUAGC
rnacentral:rRNA from 1 species